AGCCUGGCACAUAGUAGACACUCAAUAAAUGGUUAUUGGAUGGAUGGAUGGAUGGAUGGAUGGAUGAAUGAACACUCCAUCUGGCUUGCGGAUGCCCUCUCCA
rnacentral:miRNA from 1 species